rnacentral:lncRNA from 1 species
CAGAACAAUAACUAAAGCAUAGAAGGAAGGCUAAAAUAAGAAUUCAGAAACUAUAAACCGGCUCUCUUCUAGCUUACGACACAAACUAUGAGUGAGAAAAGGACAAAUGAUUCGCUCUUUGCUUCAUUUUUUCCGAGGUUGUCACAACAUGAAAUGUCAUUUGGACCUAUUGGACUCAUUUUAACUCGGCCAAAUACAUAGUAACAUACAUAAGAAGAUUUUACUUAUAUUUACCGAACUAUUUGACACGGUCGCGUCAACUGUGUUUACGAGUGUCUUGUGUUCAGAUUGUUUUAAGUGAUAAUUUAACAAUAUUUUUCCAAAUAAAUGGAAAGAAACUUUUAUUUAUAUCAAAUAAUUGAGUGUCUCGACUGUGUGACAUUAUGUCUUGUGUGGUAUGGGGCUGCAGCUCACAUUCAGGAAGAAAAGAAAAUAGCCAACAACUUCUGUCGUUUCAUCGAUAUUAAAUCCAAAAGUGUCGACUGGAUUUACAUGAAAAGUCAGUUCAAGAAGACGAGAUGAAAAAUUUAAAAGAAAAGCUGAACAAGUCCCGCCUCAAGAUCAAACGACUUAAUGAAAAAAAAAAAACAAUGUGACAGGGUGUCACAAAGACAGUUUCUAAGCAAAUUGACACUGUUUAGAAAUUAAUAAAUUUGUAUUUAUUGUAAAUAUAAUGUACAUAAUUAAUAACGUGUGAAAUAAAUACUUGCUAAUGAAAAUGAACAGAUUUACGAUCUAAUUUAUAUUUCAUUUUACCUCCUGUUCUUAUUUACUCCUACUCCAACACUCCAGGUUGAUACGAACUGCGCCCAAUAAAGAAUGUAAUGAAUGUUAUAGAUUUGUGUAAGCGACUUAGAUAAAUCUUGACUAAACCUUCCUUUACAAAUACAAAUAUACUUUAUUGCACACAACAUACAAUACUUACAAGUUUUACACGAAAGAUACAGUACACCACCUACCUACCUUUUACUUUCCCUUUCUGUUCUCUUAUGAAUACUUGUAUGCCGUAUUUUUUAAGUAUAAUGCUAUAUCUAGUAGGUACGAGUAUGGUAAUCCUAGUAUUGAAACAGCUUGUAGCCCUAGUAAAGACCGCCAUUUUAUGUUUAC